AGAGGGUGCAAGCGUUAAUCGGAUUGACUGGGCGUAAAGGGCUUGUAGGCGGUUAUGUAAGUUAGAUGUGAAAUCUUCGGGCUCAACCUGGAAACUGCAUCUAAAACUGCAUAACUAGAGAGCAGUAGAGGGGAGUGGAAUUUCCGGUGUAGCGGUGAAAUGCGUAGAUAUCGGAAGGAACACCAGUGGCGAAGGCGACUCCCUGGGCUGUUUCUGACGCUGAGGAGCGAAAGCGUGGGUAGCGAACAGGGAUUAGAUACCCUGGUAGUCCACGCUGUAAACGAUGAGAACUAGCUGUUUUGAUGUAUUAUAUGUCAGAGUAGCGUAGCUAACGCGAUAAGUUCUCCGCCUGGGAUUACGGUCGCAAGACUA
rnacentral:rRNA from 1 species